GAGGUGUUGAGUUAUUGCGCAGCGUAACAGACAAGGUGAGCGGUAUGAAGUCGAACCCUGGUGUGCAUUGAACAAGGAAGAGUACUUCAUAAAAGCCCGAAGGCAAAACAGGCCCACGAGGGGGGCCCUAGCCUGAACAGGAGGGGGGAGCAAACGCAAAGACAAGAAGGCCUAAAGGAAUGGAAAAGCAAGAGCAAUAACCAACCAAAGGAAGAAUGAAAAGCGAAUUCACAAUCGAGAGUGUAACAAGAAAUUGAUGUCAACAUCUCUCUCAUUAGAUAUGUAUUGGGUUGUAGGCACAUAAGCCAUAUAAGCAUUAUUCUAUUAAUUUGGCACCAAACCAAUACAUCAAUCUA